GUGCCAGCCGCCGCGGUAACACGUAGGGAGCAAGCGUUGUCCGGAUUUAUUGGGCGUAAAGAGCUCGUAGGUGGUUCGAUAAGUCGGGUGUGAAAACUCUGGGCUCAACUCAGAGACGCCACUCGAUACUGUCGUGACUGGAGUCUGGUAGGGGAGUGUGGAAUUCCCAGUGUAGCGGUGAAAUGCGCAGAUAUUGGGAGGAACACCAGUGGCGAAGGCGGCACUCUGGGCCAGUACUGACACUGAGGAGCGAAAGCGUGGGGAGCGAACAGGAUUAGAUACCCCAGUAGUCC
rnacentral:rRNA from 1 species